rnacentral:rRNA from 1 species
GACGAACGCUGGCGGCGUGCUUAACACAUGCAAGUCGAACGGAAAGGCCCUGCUUUUGUGGGGUGCUCGAGUGGCGAACGGGUGAGUAACACGUGUGUAACCUGCCCUUGACUUUGGGAUAACUUCAGGAAACUGGGGCUAAUACCGGAUAGGAGCUCCUGCUGCAUGGUGGGGGUUGGAAAGUUUCGGCGGUUGGGGAUGGACUCGCGGCUUAUCAGCUUGUUGGUGGGGUAGUGGCUUACCAAGGCUUUGACGGGUAGCCGGCCUGAGAGGGUGACCGGCGACAUUGGGACUGAGAGACGGCGCAGACUCCUACGGGAGGCAGCAGUGGGGAAUAUUGCACAAUGGGCGGAAGCCUGAUGCAGCAACGCCGCGUGCGGGAUGACGGCCUUCGGGUUGUAAACCGCUUUCGCCUGUGACGAAGCGUGAGUGACGGUAAUGGGUAAAGAAGCACCGGCUAACUACGUG